UUUGAUCUUCCCAUAAACACAUUCACAUUUUAAUACAGAUGUUUACACUUAGAUCAUCUGGUCAGCAUCUACAGCAUCACGCCUCUAUACAUUACAUGAUAUAAAUCUUCAUCGAGACACAUUAUCCUGGCAACAGUACAUAAAAAAGGUCCCUGCACAAUAAUGUAAACAUAGAUCAGAGAGAUUUAAAAUCGACCUGAUUCCUCCCACACGUGUAAAGUUAAGAGGGCACCUACACACACGCAAACACGCGCACACUCAUACACACUCAGUCACACACACACACACACACACACACACACACACACACACACACAUAUGAUCUUGGCCUACUCCAGGGUGUAUUUCAUUCGUUCAAAGGAAAAAAGAAAGAAGUCGUUAAUGAUUUUUUCCUGUCUUGUUUAACACAAAGAUAGAGUCUGACGCGGUGAAAUUAAAACGUGCGCGUUUAAUCAAAAUGUCAAUAAACGACGAAUUUCUACAUCUGCAAUUACGGUACACAUAAACUCAAGUUACAGUUUUAUUAUAACGUUAUGUCGCACGAUAUGAAGUGGUAACACUGAUGAAAAAUUCAAUCACGUAAUGGGUCAUAUUGUAGCUUCAUGUGCUGCUUUUGGUGCAUUUUGGGGGCCUGCGGGUCUCUCAUGUGCUUUUGCGCAUGCCAUGGCUCGUGUUGUGUUCUUUCCUAUCACGUCCAUAAAUUGUGUUAAUUUUUGGUGCAGCUGUUAGCCCGUAGCAAAUGGAAGGAUGGACAUUUUAAAAAAUCUAACAAAGCGAAAAUGGAUGAAUUUCUGUUGCAACUCUCUGUGUAUCUGAAAAUGGAAAACGAAUUUUACGCAUGGUUUCUAUCCUACUUUGUAACCUUUUAUUGGCCUUUAUGAGUUUGUUUUCCACAUUUAAUAUAAUCAUUAAUAAUCAUGCUAAUUUGGAGAUGCUGCUCAGAUCCUAACUUUAUCCUGAAAUGCAACAAAGGACAAGAAAGUGAUUUUUUUAGUGCGAGUUAUCAAACACUUGAAUUGAAUCAUUUGGAUUGGUUUGGGUGAAAGUACCCCGACUACAGGACUGUCACUAAAAGUACACAAUAGAUCUACAAGUGGAGUAAAAUAUCUUAUAUUUAAGUCUGAUUUUAAUCCUGAAGAAUAAGCAACGUGAUGUCUUAAUGCACAGACAUUUUACAGCUAAUAUCCCGAUUAAAGUUCAUAAUUCUUCAGUGUUUCCCGUUUGAUUGUAGUAAAUUAGAGGUAAAAUUUUAUUCAACCUGACAAAAGAAAAUAAUAUAGAGCCUGAAUUAAACAAGAAAUGAGGCAAAAAUGGCUUCAAAUCAGAUCAGAAACAGCGAGAAUAAAAGACUUCAGAAUGAAAUACAUUUAACACCAUUUUGACCUCGAGCUGUUAAUCCACGUUUUGUUAGACACCUUAAGAGAAUUAUCUUAAAAUCGAAAGUAACGAAAUUCUAACUCAAUUGAAAAGCCUUUAUAGUCCACGUGAUGUUUGCUCACUUACAUCUUUAAUUAGCUUCUUGACGGCGCUCUAUAAUAAGAUUUACGGUACUACGAUGAGCUGGUGUAUGUGCCAUAACUGUGACAUUUUGUGUCCAUUACUGCACUCCUGUUAGAGAGAGUUUGGAGGUUUAAUAGUCUCGACUAUUUUUAUCUGGGUGACAUUAUUGUAGUAGGUGAAUAGUCGUCUGUGAUAGGCCCGCUCUAAUGCAUUUCCUCUGGUUUUAAUUGGGCCGCGCUAAGUGACGCCCCCUGCGGUUUCAUCUCAUUACAGCCAGUCAGUGAAGCUACCUGAAGGGUUAAGGUCUGUAGCCUGUGACAAGAAAACACUGAUAUGUUAUUGUAUACACAAAAUUAAAUAAUUACAUGUUAGAAAUAGUCUACAAUAGAAAUCUACAGUUCUGAAAGGCCAAAGUGAAGCAAAGAGAAACACUGUCAGUAUGGGCUUAAAUGUGGAGGACAAUUUCUGAUAUCAUGAGGGGUGAAAUCCAAGACAUGGGGGGAACAGAAAUUAUGGAGCCAUGUCGAAGAAAUGUCAAAAAUACGAUUAAUUCAAAGUCUCAAAUUAAAUACAAAAACAGACAAUAUGCUUUGGUUCAAUUUGAAAAUAAUAAUGAUGAUUAAACAGACCAAGAAUCGCCUCUUUUAGAGUUUACACCAAAAAGAAAAGUCCGAUCUUCAGAUAUCGGUCAGAGCGAUCGAUAAUUUACCGCGAUAACUUAACUCACCUGCAAUAAUUUUCCACCGAUUUUUUUUCUUUUUUUCCACUAUCAUAUGAUACAUACAUAACGUACAUAAUGUUAAAAAAUAUAUCUCAGGCAUCAAUAUGAGUGAUCACACAUGCACUCCAGUGAGAGAAGAAGACGGCGGUGAGACACGUUCCUCAUAACCACCACUAGAUGUCACCAUCUAGUCGUCUAGUCUAACCCUCCCCUAUCCUUCAUCCUGCUCAUUCACCUCAUCCUCCUCCUCCUCAUCAUCCUCACUCCCUAAAACUCUUCGUGCAGAUCGAGCAGACAUCAAUCAGCCUGCGAGCUUCACUAACAGACUCACACACAGAGUUUGUAAGUAGAGUCACAGCAGAGAGGAUAUGUCCUCUUAUCUACUGAAAUGUUUACAGAGAAGAGUUCAUCUGAAUCUUUAGUAGAAAAAAACGUCAUGAAUUAUAAAAAUAGUAAAUUAUUAUUGUAAAAAUAGUAAUAAUAAUAAUAAAAAUUAUAUUGAUAAUGAUUUUAAGCUAUAACCUACUAACACUGAGUUUGCUUUAGAGUAAAAGAAACGGCAAAUCACUCCACAGAGCAGCAGAAAGCUCACACAUCUCCAAGUAUUCCGGUAUGCUCUUAGAAAAAUAACAUGUCUACUUCUUUAUCUCGGAGGUGUUUCAUUACAACAAUUUCAAAACACUGUUUCCCAGUGCCAGACAAGUCUCCCCUGUUUCUUUUACAGACUGCUCAGUAACAGGCUGAUGUCAGACCUGAAAUUGGAAAAAUACGUUUUAUUUUUAAUAACAUCUUUUUCUGCCUCACAGAUUAUUUCUAAAAAAAAAAAAAAAAAAAAUCCUGACACUGUCGUUUGGUUCGUCUCGUUUAGGAAUAGAUGUUUAAGUUUUGAUCGUGUUGAAAAUUAUCGCUCUGACCGAUCUCAUAAAGAAGAUUCACAUCAAAUCGUACUUGGGAUCAGCUGUUUUCUGUGGUUUCUCCAGGACGCGGCCUGAUGGCUCUAUUAAUACACAAUGCUGUUACAUUAGCUGCUCCCAUGUCGUUUUACACCAACAGUAACACAGACUCUAAGUCCAUAAAUUACUUCAUAGAAAUAAGAGUCAGUCAACAACAGCGGAGCUCUCCUCGCCGACCUCUAUGAAAUCUCUACACUUUAGAGUUUUAUGGUUGAUUCUCGCAAAAAGACUGAGGGCUUUCAUUUCCAAAUGAGUUGUUCUUAUUUUAUAAUCGAGUUACACAAAUUUACAAAGAAAGAGGCCACACGUGCACACCUCCUUUUCCUCUGAAAACAACACUCUCAUCAUUAAAAGCAGGAUGGAACAACAAAUUGCGCUUUUUUGGUCCUGAUAUUAUCCACAGCCAAAUAUGCACCAUCUCGGUUAUUUUCGUCUUUGAAAGUAAAUAGAAGUGUGUGUGUGUUUGUUUGUGUGUGUGUCCUUCAGAUUUUGGGAGGUGAUGAUGAAAACGAGAGUAACACCUCAGAGGAUGAUGAUGAUGAUGAUGAGGGGGAAAUAUUAAAGAUCCCGUUUUGUAAACUUACUAAGAGAGAAGUACCGUAAUGCUUCGUUUUAUUCCAACAUAGGUGUGGUGACGGACUCCUGUGGCUUUUUGAAUGUGUUUACGUGAUCCAGCCUGACCACUAGUGUUGAGCCACGAGCAGAUUGAGAGCAGGGUUCAAUGGCGAGGGGAGUAGCCUAUGGGGGACUGCAUCAUGCUCAGGCUGAUAGCACAAAGUUUUCUCUGCUGGAAAGAACAAGAAAAAAAAAACGUCCCAACAACUUGACAGAAACGUCGCGUGUAAAAGCGCAGAGUUAGAGCAGCAGCAGCAGAAGGAGCAGAAGCAGAAGCAGCACCUUUGGAUUGUGUUUGGAGGUAAGUCAAAAAAGGUUUGAUUAGGGGCACGCGCUUUAUCAGAUAUUGAGAUAUGAUAAGUGACAUUUGGAGAAGGAGAAAUCGUAUGCGUAAAAAGAUAUUCAGGUGAAAUUGAGAUCUGUUUUAAUCAUGUUAUGACUUUGGAUAUACAUUUCUUGCAUUUGCACUUGCACUUGCAUGCGCGCGCUCGUUCCUGGCAUCACUGCGCGCGUGCACGGACACCGAGGGAGACAGCUCUGAGCAAUUGUAGCCUAAAUGUCAGCGCUGCGUCACUGCAUUUUUGCAAACUGGGCAGGAGACUUUUUUUAUGAUUACUUUCUGCAACAACCUGCCCGUGUCAUUCCCCCCUUUCCUAAACCUCGAUGUGCAAGUCUCACCUUCCCCCCCAAGAUUUACCUCUGCAUCUCCUCUAUUGUUUGCCCCGCACACAGCUCUUUGUUCAUGCAUGCUGAAUUUGAGUAUUCAAAAGGCUUCCGCCGAAUUUGCAUCUUACAGGUUCGAGAAAAUAUGACUUAUUGAUAGGAAAAUACAACCGGUUUCGAGUCUAUGUAUUGACUGUUACAUCAGGCUUCGAUAUGAAUUUCAAAUCUGAAAUAUUACGCAAUAAAUGUCAUCGCUAUAUCACACGAAAUCGGUCUUUACACGUACAAAUAUGAUGAAACAUGGGAAAAUAAACACUGAAUGCAAAUCUCUCCACUGAAUAUGCAUCAAUAUUGAAAAUAAUACGCACACCAGAGCCAACGGCGUCCGAGAAUUGAGAAUGGAGGAGCGGGUCGUCUCAUUACGCAUGGGCGGCUUUCCACGCAGGAGCCUCGGUUCCCCUUCUCUUCGUGUCUCCGCUCCUUCCCCGGUCACACAAACGAAGCCUCUUUGGUAAAAAAACAAACAAGGUUGUGUCGGCUUUCAAAACCCGCAAUCAAACACCCAAGACCCGGCUGGGGGGAAUUACUCCGACUGCAGCAGGGCGGACUAUGUAGUAAGCGGGAUUUGCAUAUUUGGAUGCGCUAAUUGCCUUGAUGUAUUUAAAUAUGGCUGCACGUAGCUGAUAUGCUUGUCUACGUCAUUGAACGUGCCCUCGCUGUUAAACU